CGUUCCCGGGCCUUGUACACACCGCCCGUCACACCGACGAAAGCGAGCAACACCCGAAGCCGGUGGCCUAACCGCAAGGAGGGAGCCGUCGAAGGUGGGCCCGUGAUUGGGGUG
rnacentral:rRNA from 1 species